rnacentral:tRNA from 1 species
GCCGGAGUAGCUUAACGGUAUAGCAACGCUUUCGUAAAGCGUAGGUUGGAGGUUCGAUUCCUCUCUUCGGCU